GCAGAAAUGCCAGAUUCCGGGUGGCUGUAAUGCCUCUGUAAAGCCACCUUUCAACAUGCUCCAUUUGCUGUGCUUUCAAGGACUCAUCUGUAUUGUUGCCUUCAUAAGAUUCAGCCCCAAAAGACGAGGACACCAAAGAUCAGAGAGGCAGAAUGACUUGCUGAAGACCACAUGAUGAAGAAACUGAUGCUUAAAGAUGUUAAGUAACCUGGCCAAGAAAUUACCAGUUUUCCAGUUGGAAGAAGAGAAUUAGAAUCGCUAUGUUACUUCUGUACUUGCCUUCCUGAUUGGAGGCUGGUCAACCCUGUUUGGAAGUUGAGAGUCUAAGGCUCUGAAAGUAACAGAAAUAGAACCAGAAACAAGGUCACCUGGUUUUCACCUAACACUCCUGCCUCCUUACUUUCUCAAGUGGAACCAAUUUCCAGUAGCCUGUAACCAAGCCCUCUUUCCUGGCCCUUCUCUUUUAGUCAGCCAGGUGACUCGGUGGUUGAGAGGAACAGAGAGGAGCCUCCACUUUACAGAGACCUUCUCUCCAGUAAAAGCAGCAUUAUCUAUAAAACAUCUCCACAUGGGAAGGAGGGAGAAGAAUGAUGUUUUAUCUCCUGACAGUAAAGCCAGAAUGAGUGUUUCAGGGGUGAGAGUAUGGUUUCAAUCAGUUGAGGCUGCACGUGGGAGCCUCCUGGCUCCUCUCUUUCACUUUUUCUUAUGCCAGAAUCUUACUCCAUGAGGACUGAACUGGCCAGAGACAGAAUCAUAUCCAGUGCAAUACUCACCCUUGGGGUCAACUUCAUAACCUCUAGAAUGGUGUGGGUCUCUUGGCAGACACCUAAUAAACACAUGUUGAGUGACUGAUUAAACCUAAGUGUAUGAUAGACAACUUUACACACAUUUACAGGCCUCUGGAAUGAGGCAUCUGUCUUCAGAUACCUUCUCCUUUGAAUUCCCUUUUAUGUUUUUUCUUUAACUUUCUUGGUUCAUUUCUUUGCCCCCUCCCAUCUUUACAUACACUCACACUUAUACAUGCAUGUGUGGGCACACACAAACACAUACAUGCACACAACCCUUGAGAUAAAAAAGAUAUGGAGGUAUAACAGAUCAAUUUUACUCAUACUUAAGCAAACUGCAGACUGACAGUGUGAUGUACUGCAGCAAAAUUUCCUAUUCUGCUGCUAGUUCAAUCGUUACAAAAAUGAAAGCUAGGUUUGACUGAGUUUGCUUCAAUAUCUAGAGAAUUUAAUAUUUUAUAUCAUUUUAGAAUG